rnacentral:rRNA from 1 species
UACGUAGGGUGCGAGCGUUGUCCGGAAUUAUUGGGCGUAAAGGGCUUGUAGGCGGUUUGUCGAGUCUGCUGUGAAAAUCCGGGGCUCAACCCCGGACGUGCAGUGGGUACGGGCAGACUAGAGUGUGGUAGGGGAGACUGGAAUUCCUGGUGUAGCGGUGGAAUGCGCAGAUAUCAGGAGGAACACCGAUGGCGAAGGCAGGUCUCUGGGCCACUACUGACGCUGAGAAGCGAAAGCAUGGGGAGCAAACAGG